GGGCGGGGCGGCGGCCCGGAGAUCGACAGCCCCGCACACCCACUGGGGUGGAGGAGAAGGGGGCCAGCGGCUACAGGAAUUCAGCCUCGGGCUGGGGCUGUCACCGAGGGGAAUUUCCCCUCUUUGAACCGGACUGGGGACCCUCCCACCCCACCCCUUUCACUGUGCCUUCUUAAAGGGAUCACACUGUUUUCCUCUGACUCCAUGGAAUCCAGACUUGGGACGCUCUGUGCAGACUUUGAAUCUUUCCCUCCCGCUUCCUUCCCAGCUGGCAGCCUUCCUCUGGCUGAUUGAGUGGGGGCCUCCCAGGCAUGGCACUGACCAGCCGACCCAGUGCUGACUUGGCUCCUGGGCUGCUUCAGCCUCUGCUGGCAUCUCGCGUGCCCCCUCCUGGGGCUCUGUGGCAGUGGUGAGUGGGGGGCCCAGCCCUGCGCCCUGAGUGUGCUUGGAGCGUGUCGCUGGCACCCCUUCGCCCUCUCCCCCAAGCUGGAGGACGGCGAGGUCGUCAGGAGCUAUGAUGAGAUGAGCGGGGGCCGCUUUGACUUUGAUGAUGGCGGGGCGUACUGUGGGGGCUGGGAGGGGGGAAAGGCCCACGGACAUGGACUGUGCACUGGCCCCAAGGGCCAGGGCGAAUACUCGGGUUCCUGGAACUUUGGCUUUGAAGUGGCGGGCGUCUACACCUGGCCCAGCGGAAACACCUUCGAGGGAUACUGGAGCCAUGGCAAACGGCACGGGCUGGGCAUAGAGACCAAGGGACGCUGGCUCUACAAGGGCGAGUGGACCCAUGGCUUCAAGGGGCGGUAUGGAACCCGGCAGAGCAGCAGCAGCGGUGCCAAGUAUGAGGGCACUUGGAACAAUGGUCUGCAGGACGGCUACGGCACCGAGACCUAUGCGGAUGGAGGGACUUACCAAGGCCAGUUCACCAACGGCAUGCGCCACGGCUACGGCGUGCGCCAGAGCGUGCCCUACGGGAUGGCCGUGGUGGUGCGCUCGCCGCUGCGCACGUCGCUCUCGUCCCUGCGCAGCGAGCACAGCAACGGCACGGUGGGCCCGGACUCGCCCACGUCGCCCGCCUCAGACGGCCCGCCGCUGCCCUCGCCCGCCAUCCCUCGCGGCGGCUUCGCGCUCAGCCUGCUGGCCAACGCCGACGCGGCCCCGCGCGCCCGGCCCGGCGGCCUGUUCCCGCGCGGCGCGCUGCUCGGCCGGCUGCGGCGCACCGAGUCGCGCACGUCCGUGGGCAGCCAGCGCAGCCGCGUGAGCUUCCUCAAGAGCGACCUCAGCUCGGGCAGCGACGCCGCCUCCACCGGCAGCCUGGGCGAGGGCGCCGACGACGCCGCGCCCUUCGAGGCCGACAUCGACGCCACCACCACCGAGACCUACAUGGGCGAGUGGAAGAACGACAAGCGCUCAGGCUUCGGCGUGAGCGAGCGCUCCAGCGGCCUGCGCUACGAGGGCGAGUGGCUGGACAACCUGCGCCACGGCUACGGCUGCACCACGCUGCCCGACGGCCGCCGCGAGGAGGGCAAGUACCGCCACAACGUGCUGGUCAAGGGCACCAAGCGCCGCGUGCUGCCGCUCAAGAGCAGCAAGGUCCGCCAGAAGGUGGAGCACGGCGUGGAGGGCGCCCAGCGCGCCGCCGCCAUCGCGCGCCAGAAGGCCGAGAUCGCCCUCUCAAGGACAAGCCACGCCAAGGCCAAAGCAGAGGCAGCGGAACAGGCUGCCGUGGCUGCCAACCAAGAGUCCAACAUUGCCCGCACUUUGGCCAGGGAGCUGGCUCCAGACUUCUACCAGCCAGGUCCGGAAUAUCAGAAGCGCCGGCUGCUCCAGGAGAUCCUGGAGAACUCGGAGAGCCUGCUGGAGCCCCCCGACCGGAGCCCGGGCGCCGCGGGCCUCCCGGAGCGGCCCCGCGAGAGCCCGCAGCUGCAUGAGCGCGAGACCCCUCGGCCGGAGGGAGGGCCCCCGUCGCCGGCCGGGACGCCCCCGCAGCCCAAGCGACCCCGGCCCGGAGCAUCGUCCAAGGACGGCCUGCUGAGCCCGGGCGCCUGGAACGGCGAGUCCGGCCCCGAGGGCAGCCGGCCCGCCACGCCGUCCGAGGGCGCGGGCCGCCGCAGCCCUGCGCGCCCCGCCGCCGAGCACAUGGCCAUCGAGGCGCUGCAGGCGCCGCCCGCGCCGUCGCGGGAGCCCGAGGUGGCGCUGUACCGCGGCUACCACAGCUACGCCGUGCGCACCGCGCCGCCCGCGCCGCCGCCCUUCGACGACGAGCCCGAGCCCGACGCCGCCGGGUCCGACUCGGCCCCGGCGUCCCCGGCCAGCGCCCCCGCGUCCCCGGCCAGCGCCGCCGCGCCCGACUCCCCCGCCAAGCUGGAGCCCAAGCCCAUCGUCCCCAAAGCCGAGCCCAGGGCCAAGGCCCGCAAGACUGAGGCCCGGGGGCUGACCAAGGGCGGGGCCAAGAAGAAGGCUCGGAAGGAGGCGGCGGCCGCGGCGGAGGCCGAGGUGGAGAUAGAGGAGGUCCCCAACACCGUCCUCAUCUGCAUGGUGAUCCUGCUCAACAUCGGCCUGGCCAUCCUCUUCGUUCACCUCCUGACCUGACCCUCGGCUACCAGGUGCGGCCGGGAGGAGGCGUUGGGAGCACACAGAGCUCUGGGCGGCAGGGUGAUGGGACGGGCCUGCUGCCUCCUGGGCGUCUGUCCUGCGAGCCAGGAAUUCCUGCUGAGGACGCAAAGACCCCUCUUUUUGUGGUGCCACGCAGGGUGGCCAAGGAGGACUGGAACCCCUGGGUCCAGCUCACUUCCACACCGCAGACGUUCAAGGAGGCCUCCCGUGGCGCCCGCACUGGGUGGCGGAGGCACCCAGAGGACUCGAAUGCACAGGGAGGCCCCCAGGGAAGAGCCCUGGUCUCUGGAGCUCCCUGACCUGCUCCCGUCCCUCCCUCUCCCAUGCUCCCUCACCCCACCCGUAGGUCCCCUCCACCCCAGGCUUUUGUGUGUUUUGGGGGAAGUCCCCAAAUCAGGAUGUUAAUAAUAAAUCCCAGCCCCCUUCUUCCGCCCUUCCCUUGCUUUAUUUUAGCCUCUGGCUGCAGGGCCGGGGCCCCCAAGCAAGCAGGGGGAGUGAUAGGACUCCUGUGGUGGGCCAGCAAGGGAUGCACUCUCAGCACAGGGGCCCUUCCUUCGCAGGCUUGACCCAGCACACACCUGUCCCUUGAUUACAGAUGUUCUGGAUGACAAUAGAGGAAAUGGACAUGCUCAGUUUCAAUAUCCCAGGAGACAGUGCUCCCAUCUCCUCCCACCGGUCCAGUUAGCUUCCCUUCUGGACCAAUAGAAGAGGGGGAGAUGUAAGGAAUUGGAACCUUUAGCUGGGAAGCCACUGACCAGGUGGUGGGGGGUGGGAGUGGGAAGACGGGCUAAGGGGCCAUUAGGAUGGCCCCUGUUUUUGAGUGUGCCUGAGCCCAAGGUUGGCGUUGCAUUUAGGGCUCCCAGUGUGCUCAGAGUGCUCAGGGUCACCCUGGGGGAGCCCCGGGGCUGACAAGGUAGAGCUCCUGUGAGGCCCUGUGAACUGGUUUGUCCACACCCCAGCUCAGGGGAGCAGGAGUGGAAGCCCUCGGAAGCCCAGGCAGACCUCCCUGGGGCAGACUAGCAGGCAGGUGCUAAACAGGCUCCUUGUCAACAGCCUUUCCCGGGGAGGGAGGAGGAAGUCUGGGCUCCCACUGGGUGCAGUCUGUGCAAUAAUUAGCCCUUUGGCUUGUUUGGAAGAAGAGAGUGUUUGCAUGUAGCCCAUUACAGAUGUUUGGUACCACACUGGGUCACUGGGCCCUUGUGCUUGCUGGGGGUGGCUGGAGGCUGAGGGAUUAUGGUACCCUGCCCCCGGGAGGACAGAAGGAGCAGCCCCUCUCAGUUGGGGGAAGGAUGUGGUGACAGAAUCCAAGCAGAGGUAUGGAGAACUGUGGCCCUUCUGCCUUGGUUUCUCUGGACCUGGGGCCUUUGGCGUGGUGACCUGGCCUCUGGGGGCAGCUCUGCGACCUGCGGUUUGCUUCUGAUGGGGUCAGCUCUCCCUUUCCCCCCAGUUCUUGGCAGCCUUCCUCCAGCUUCACACUUGCUGUUUCAAGCACUGCUGGGGACUCGGGGCGUGGCUGGAAUCUUGGACUGCGUUUCUCGGAUUCUCCCAUCCCCACCAGGGCCCGUGGCUCUGCAUCUGUGUUUGGACUUUUCUGGCCUCCUAGGGAAUGUGGGGGGAUGGCCGGGGGCACUGCUCAGGCUGACAGGCUCCAGGUUUUCGGCCUGGCCCAGUGCUAAGGAUUAAGCCUCCCGCUGCCAGAGCUCCCAGGCCUAGUUUUGGGGCUGGUGUUUGGGGCGAGGGUUCAGGAUGCUGCAGUCUGUGCAAUAAUAAACGUGCAUCUGCUCACGGGC